UCGUAGUAGACGCUGAAAAAUCGUCGGGUUCUUGACACCCAUUGUGCACUUUGUGAGUGCUUUAGUGGAUUUGGAGCAGUGUUUUCUUAUCUCAUUCGAGCUAUUUGCUCGAAUUUUAACAUGGCAUACAAUUUACGAAAUCGGCCGUUGAGAGAACAACUUCUCGACGAGCAGUAUGACAAAGAAACUUUUGUCGGUCCAGCAAGCGAUAGUUAAGAGGACAAUAUUUCUGUGUUCUGUGAUCAAGAGUCCGAAAGCGAAUAGAGGCUGGGAAAAGAGCUCGAAGAAGAGCUAGAAACUGUUUCGCAUAGCAAACGAUUGUAUCUCAGCAAAGCGCGUGGGAGGCCCGAAAUUAUUUUGAGAGGAAAAAAUGGAUACGCUUGGAGCACGAGAGAAACAAGACGACGUUCAGAUCGACAUAUUCUUGUCCCACCUGAGAACAUUGCUGGCCCAAUCGGUGAAGCUGCUAAUCUAGAGGCAAUUAAUCAAUUUUUGAAAGUUCUCUUCAAUGAUAAAAUGAUUGUUGUCAUCGUUGAAUGUAUAAACGUGCAAAUAGAACAUGAAUGUGCAAUUA